rfam:Streptomyces sp. NRRL F-6491 P443contig280.1, whole genome shotgun sequence.
GUUGUCCUGCCAAGGGCAUGGCUGGUUGGCUACGUUCGGGAGGGAUAACCGCUGAAAGCAUCUAAGCGGGAAGCCUGCUUCGAGAUGAGUAUUCCCACCUCCUUGAGAGGGUAAGGCUCCCAGUAGACGACUGGGUUGAUAGGCCGGAUGUGGAAGCCCCGCAAGGGGUGGAGCUGACCGGUACUAAUAGGCCGAGGGCUUGUCCUC